rnacentral:rRNA from 1 species
CCUACGGGUAGGCUGCAGUGGGGAAUAUUGGACAAUGGGCGAAAGCCUGAUCCAGCCAUGCCGCGUGUGUGAAGAAGGCCUUCGGGUUGUAAAGCACUUUCAGUGGGGAAGAAAGCCUUGGGGCUAAUACCCUCGAGGAAGGACAUCACCCACAGAAGAAGCACCGGCUAACUCCGUGCCAGCAGCCGCGGUAAUACGGAGGGUGCGAGCGUUAAUCGGAAUUACUGGGCGUAAAGCGCGCGUAGGCGGUCUGAUAAGCCGGUUGUGAAAGCCCCGGGCUCAACCUGGGAACGGCAUCCGGAACUGUCAGGCUAGAGUGCAGGAGAGGAAGGUAGAAUUCCCGGUGUAGCGGUGAAAUGCGUAGAGAUCGGGAGGAAUACCAGUGGCGAAGGCGGCCUUCUGGACUGACACUGACGCUGAGGUGCGAAAGCGUGGGUAGCAAACAGGAUUAGAUACCCGAGUAGUC